CCUCUGGCUCACCCCUGGCCCACAGCACCUAGUGUGCCCCUCAGUCGUGGAACUCAUUGGAUGGGUUUGUUCCCAUGUCUUCUUGGCCAGUUGCACUGAAAUCCUAGAAAGCAGGAAGAACUCAGAAGUAUCUUGACUAAAUGCCUACCGUGUUCCACGGGAGGAACUGUCUUCUCAUAUAAGCGUCUCUACAACCCCGUGGGGUGGUGUCAGUUUCCCAGGACCGCCAUAACAAAGUACCACAAACUGGAUGGUUUGAAACAAUGGAAAGUUAUCAGUUCUGAAGAUCUGAGGUCCAAAAUCAAGGGGAUGGCAGGGCCAUGCCCCACCGGAAACCUGUGGGGGGGAUCCCUCCUGGCCUCUUCUAGCAUCUGGCUUGCCUGCAGUCCUCAGUGUUCCUUGGCUUGUGGAUGCAUCCCUCCAGCCUUCGCUUCAUUGCCACAUGACCUUCUCUUGUGUGUCUCUGUCUCCUCUCUCCUUCUUAUGAGGGUACCAGCCAUCUUAACUCAUCACAUCUUCACAGGCCCUAUUUCCAUUCACAGGACUGGGCCUUAGGACUUGAACAUAUCCUCUGGGGAGACACGAUUCAACUCAUAACAGACACCAUUUCAUAAAAGUGUGAGGAGAUUACGCAAUCGAUGUGGCCAUCUAGGGAAAAAAAAUCAGAUCAUGUGGUAGAUGUAUUAUUGCUCAGCAAACAUUUACUUCCCCCAGCCCUCCCCGCUGUGGGAGAGAUAUGCUUCCUCACCCUGCUGAUAUUGGACUUGGCCAUGUGACUUGCUUUGGCCAAAAGAAUGUCUGUGGAAGUGACAGGUGCCACUUCCAAGGCAUCCAGUGUUUCCAUUCUCCCCUCUUGAGCAACUGUCCUCUGCCACAAGAACCGCAAGUCCCAGACAGUGGCGGCUCCUGGAUGGAAUGAGAAGACAAGCGAGACAGAACAGCACGCGGUCCGCAGCUGUGAGCCGAGCCAACGAGUGGUAGGAACGAUAGGACCUAGAGACAAAGUCUGGAGAUUAAGAAGAGAUUCACAUGAAAAGGA